UACGGGGGGAGCAAGCGUUGUUCGGAUUUACUGGGCGUAAAGGGCGCGUAGGCGGCGCAACAAGUCACUUGUGAAAUCUCCGGGCUUAACCCGGAGCGGUCAAGUGAUACUGUCGUGCUAGAGUGCGGAAGGGGCUACUGGAAUUCUCGGUGUAGCGGUGAAAUGCGUAGAUAUCGAGAGGGAACACCUGCGGCGAAGGCGGGUAGCUGGGCCGACACUGACGCUGAUGCGCGAAAGCCCAGGGGGAGCGAACGGG
rnacentral:rRNA from 1 species